rnacentral:misc_RNA from 1 species
AAGUCGUAACAAGGUUUCCGUAGGUGAACCUGCGGAAGGAUCAUUAACGAAAUUAUGACUGGGGUUGUCGCUGGCCUAUAAAACGGCAUGUGCACGCUCCUUUCACAAUCCACACACACCUGUGCACCUUCGCGGGGGUCUUCUUUAUCGGAAGGCUCGCGUCCCUUUACACACCCUCUGUAUGUCUUAAGAAUGUCUACUCGAUGUAAUAAAACGCAUCUAAUACAACUUUCAACAACGGAUCUCUUGGCUCUC